GAAAUGCGAUAAGUAAUGUGAAUUGCAGAAUUCAGUGAAUCAUCGAAUCUUUGAACGCACCUUGCGCCCCCUGGUAUUCCGGGGGGCAUGCCUGUCCGAGUGUCGUGUGGACUCGACCCCCCGGGUUUCCGGGGACGUCGGAGAUGGGCGCUGCCGCUUGCCCCGGCUCGCCUCAAACGCCUCAGUGGGGACCGCGCCCCGUCGGGAGUGAUAAGCUUCUCUCGACGUCGGGCCGCGGCGACCGCUCAGAACGACCCCCUUCUUUACCUUGACCUCGGAUCAGGUAGGACUACCCGCUGAACUUAA
rnacentral:misc_RNA from 1 species